rnacentral:rRNA from 1 species
AGUGAACGCUGGCGGUAGGCCUAACACAUGCAAGUCGAACGGCAGCACAGUAAGAGCUUGCUCUUACGGGUGGCGAGUGGCGGACGGGUGAGGAAUACAUCGGAAUCUACUUUUUCGUGGGGGAUAACGUAGGGAAACUUACGCUAAUACCGCAUACGACCUACGGGUGAAAGCAGGGGAUCUUCGGACCUUGCGUGAUUGAAUGAGCCGAUGUCGGAUUAGCUAGUUGGCGGGGUAAAGGCACACCAAGGCGACGAUCCGUAGCUGGUCUGAGAGGAUGAUCAGCCACACUGGAACUGAGACACGGUCCAGACUCCUACGGGAGGCAGCAGUGGGGAAUAUUGGACAAUGGGCGCAAGCCUGAUCCAGCCAUGCCGCGUGGGUGAAGAAGGCCUUCGGGUUGUAAAGCCCUUUUGUUGGGAAAGAAAAGCAGCAGGUUAAUACCCCGCUGUUCUGACGGUACCCAAAGAAUAAGCACCGGCUAACUUCGUG